UACGUACGAGGCGAGCGUUAUCCGGAAUUACUGGGCGUAAAGCGCGCGCAGGUGGCUUGCUAAGUCGGACGUGAAAUCUCCCGGCCUAACUGGGAGGGGUCGUCCGAGACUGGCCGGCUUGAGGCUGGCAGAGGAGAGUGGAAUUCCUGGUGUAGCGGUGAAAUGCGCAGAUAUCAGGAAGAACACCCGUGGCGAAGGCGGCUCUCUGGGACGGUACUGACGCUGAGACGCGAAAGCGUGGGGAGCGAACAGG
rnacentral:rRNA from 1 species